CCUGACGACGCAACGCCGCGUGGAGGAUGAAGAUCUUCGGGUCGUAAACUCCUUUCGAUCGAGACGAAUUCCCUUGGGGUGAAUAAUCCCGAGGGUUGACGGUACCGAGAGAAGAAGCCCCGGCUAACUCCGUGCCAGCAGCCGCGGUAAUACGGGGGGGGCAAGCGUUGUUCGGAAUUACUGGGCGUAAAGGGCUCGUAGGCGGCCAACUAAGUCAGACGUGAAAUCCCUCGGCUUAACCGGGGAACUGCGUCUGAUACUGGUUGGCUUGAAUCCGGGAGAGGGAUGCGGAAUUCCAGGUGUAGCGGUGAAAUGCGUAGAUAUCUGGAGGAACACCGGUGGCGAAGGCGGCAUCCUGGACCGGCAUUGACGCUGAGGAGCGAAAGCCAGGGGAGCAAACGGGAUUAGAUACCCCGGUAGUCCUGGCCCUAAACGAUGAAUGCUUGGUGUGGCGGGUAUCGAUCCCUGCCGUGCCGAAGCUAACGCAUUAAGCAUUCCGCCUGGGGAGUACGGUCGCAAGGCUG
rnacentral:rRNA from 1 species